UACAGAGGUCUCAAGCGUUGUUCGGAUUCAUUGGGCGUAAAGGGUGCGUAGGCGGCGCGGUAAGUCGGGUGUGAAAAACCCGCAGCUCAACUGUGGGCUUGCAGCUGAUACGGGCAGGCUUGAGUUCGGUAGGGGAGACUGGAAUUCCUGGUGUAGCGGUGGAAUGCGCAGAUAUCAGGAGGAACACCGAUGGCGAAGGCAGGUCUCUGGGCCACUACUGACGCUGAGAAGCGAAAGCAUGGGGAGCGAACAGG
rnacentral:rRNA from 1 species